ACACUGUACUAGUGGUGCUCACCGCGACAGCGCAAAAUCAUCAUGAGCCUGGGCCUCCUUUUACAAAUGGCGCACGGGUGAGUAGCGCGUGGGAACCUGCCUUUCAUGUGGGUGGAUACCCGAGGGAAACUUCGGCUAAUACCGCAUGCGCCCCGGGAAACCGGGGGAAAGAUUGAUCGCUGAGGGAGGGGCCCGCGUCGGAUUAGCUGGUUGGUGGGGUAACGGCCUAGCGGGCCGAUGAUCCGUACCUGGUCUGACAGGAUGAUCAGCCACACUGGGACUGAGACACGGCCCAGACUCCUACGGGAGGCAGAAGUGGGGAAUAUUGGACAAUGGGCGCAAGCCUGAUCCAGCAAUGCCGCGUGAGUGAUGAACGCCUUAGGGUUGUACAGCUCUUUCGGCGGGGACGAUGAUGACGGUACCGCAUAAGAAGCCCCGGCUAACUUCGUG
rnacentral:rRNA from 1 species